rnacentral:rRNA from 1 species
AAAUAGAUACCCGGGUAGCCACGCCGUAAACGAUGAGUGCUAAGUGUUAGAGGGUUUCCACCCUUUAGUGCUGCAGCUAACGCAUUAAGCACUCCGCCUGGGGAGUACGGCCGCAAGGCUGAAACUCAAAGGAAUUGACGGGGGCCCGCACAAGCGGUGGAGCAUGUGGUUUAAUUCGAAGCAACGCGAAGAACCUUACCAGGUCUUGACAUCCUCUGCCAACCCUAGAGAUAGGGCGUUCCCCUUCGGGGGGACAGAGUGACAGGUGGUGCAUGGUUGUCGUCAGCUCGUGUCGUGAGAUGUUGGGUUAAGUCCCGCAACGAGCGCAACCCUUGAUCUUAGUUGCCAGCAUUCAGUUGGGCACUCUAAGGUGACUGCCGGUGACAAACCGGAGGAAGGUGGGGAUGACGUCAAAUCAUCAUGCCCCUUAUGACCUGGGCUACACACGUGCUACAAUGGGAUGGUACAAAGAGCUGCGAACCCGCGAGGGUAAGCGAAUCUCAUAAAGCCAUUCUCAGUUCGGA